CCCCUCUCAGGAUGGCACCUGGAGAGUUUCUGGUACUCUACCAGUCUUAGCUACGGGAGGAAGAGUCAAGCGGAGGCCUAUCCAUUCUAGUCCUAGCUUGGCCAGUGGCUAGUGAGUGGUAGGCAAUCUGCUACAAGU